rnacentral:sRNA from 1 species
GGAGAGAUGGGACCUGCUGGGCCUACUGGUCCAAGAGGAUUUCCAGGUCCACCAGGCCCCGAUGGGUUGCCAGGAUCCAUGGGGCCCCCAGGCACCCCAUCUGUUGAUCACGGCUUCCUUGUGACCAGGCACAGUCAAACAAUAGAUGACCCACAGUGUCCUUCUGGGACCAAAAUUCUUUACCAUGGGUACUCUUUGCUCUACGUGCAAGGCAAUGAACGGGCCCAUGGCCAGGACCUGGGCACGGCCGGCAGCUGCCUGCGCAAGUUCAGCACAAUGCCCUUCCUGUUCUGCAAUAUUAACAACGUGUGCAACUUUGCAUCACGAAAUGACUAUUCGUACUGGCUGUCCACCCCCGAGCCCAUGCCCAUGUCAAUGGCACCCAUCACGGGGGACAACAUAAGACCAUUUAUUAGUAGGUGAGUCGAGCAUUUGUAGGAACAAAUGCAAAAUUGAAGAGGAAAAGUCUCUAGUCUGGACAAGCAUGUUUUCUAUUUUUCUCCAAAACGUUCAAUCCAUUGCCAUUUAGCUUAUUAUUUGUGAUAUCCGAGGUUUGUAAUGGAAAUCUACCAUAAAAAUUAUUUGACAUAA